AGUGCAUUUGCACAUUAGGUGUUGCUCCAAUCUCCAUAAUCACCUCUGCCUUUAGAAGUGGUCAUAAGGAAAGCAAUCUGUAUGUGCGGUGUUUCCACUUGAAAUGUUGCCUGUACAGAGUAAUCCGCACUUUUGUGCUGGGGUCUAGUUGCACCGCUGACACACAUGACUUAGGCAGCCCAGAACCUCUUUUGUCCUCCCUCGUGUGUGUUCUAGGAGGAAGUUACAUUACAUUACUUCCUUCCAGAGAAGUGAUGUCGGACA